UUUUACAUACUCCCCCUUUCUCCGCCAGGAUCAUGUCUAAGGCCAUUCUAUUCUGGAAGGUCAUCUGGGAAGUAGCUUGUAAUUGUUCCGCCAAACCUUGGAGGGCAUCUCUUGUAUAAUUUACAAAACGUUGUUGGUUAUAAUAGAUGUAAUUGAUCCAAUUUAAAUUUUUAUUGGCUGUGAUGAUUGGGAAAAUAGAUUCGAACCCUGCGGACACUUCAUCUCUUGCUUUAAACUCAUUCGGCACCCCCCUUGGCACUCCUAUGGCAUCUAUGUAAAUAUGAGGAUCAAAACUGCCUUUUACAGGAGUAUCUCUCUUUAUUCUAGAGUAUUGGUGUGAUGUACCUGGGUUAUCUUGGUGUCCAUCAGAGAUUAUGUGUAUAGGCAUAAUUACCUUAGCUAGGGCACAUUCUCCCCACCAUACGCCUUCCAAUCUGGUUCUAAUCUGCAUAUCCCCACAAAUCCAAUAUAUGUCUCCAAGGGAUCUUAUUUGUUGUUGGAUUAGGGCGGGUGGAAUUGGGCUAUAUGUGGCACAGUACUUGCCAGUGAAAUUACCAAAGAAUUGGCCUACCCCAUCAUAUAUACCAUAACAAGUGUAGUUACCUGGGUAUAUGGUGAUACCUUUAUCUGGCUUAACAUCUUUAAGGAUAAUUGGGUAUUCCUUUACCCAUGAUUCACAUUCCGUCCGGUCAGUUUUAAGUAUAGUAUAGAGACUUAGGAAACACAUCCAUCUCUAUCUCCGGAGGUAUGUUCAAAGGGACAGUACCUAAGUGAGGCCUCGCUCCUCCACAGACAUAGCAGUUAGAUCUGUUGUGUUUGUUAGCGUUAUAUUUCAUCCACUCAAGCCAUAAGUUAGUGUCAGAGAAACCCGUCUCUACAGCCAUAGUGUCCUCAUACGUGGGGUUAGCUAUAGCUAUCAUCUCUUUUAGAGUUUUGAUAUGUGGCCUAAGAGGAUUAAUAGUCAUGUGCGUGGCACCUACCCAUUCAGGUGCGUCAUACAUGUCCCGUAAGUAAAAGGUCCCCUGUUUAUUGUAUGAACCUCCUCCCUUCCAGUACAUUCCCAUUACAUAUUGCCCAGCAUCUCCAGGACUGGGAUGUUCUAUGUUUAAAGCUAGUUUCAUAGGUGUCGCCCCCCCUGGUUUCCUG